rnacentral:ncRNA from 1 species
GGUGUCUGGGGCUGCGGCCCUGGGUGAAAAGGGAACCGGGUGGGAAUCCCGGACAGACGGUGCUGCUGUGUGCCUCCUGUAGAAAUCCCCGUUCUUGACCACUGCGACACGUUGCCGAUAGCAAGGGACGGCGUGGGAAGGUCAAGAGGUAACAAUGGGGUAGGGGCGAGUCAGAAGACCUGCCAAGUCG